rnacentral:rRNA from 1 species
CAGCCGUAAACUAAUGCGCGUUAGGUGUAUCGGUGACCACGAGUUACCGAGGUGCCGAAGGGAAACCGUGAAACGUGCCGCCUGGGAAGUACGGUCGCAAGGCUGAAACUUAAAGGAAUUGGCGGGGGAGCACCACAACAGGUGGAGCCUGCGGGUUUAAUUGGACUCAACGCCGGGAAGCUCACCGGAUAGGACAGCAGAAUGAUUGCCGGGCUGAAGACCCUGCAUGACUAGCUGAGAGGAGGUGCAUGGCGUAGACGUCU